rnacentral:tRNA from 1 species
ACUUCCAUAGUGUAGAGGUUAUCACGUCGGCUUCACACGUUGAAGGCUUCAGUUCAAUCCUGAGUGGAAGCC